rnacentral:lncRNA from 1 species
GCCCUGAAGAACCUGUGCCAAAGAUAAAGAAGAAGAAGAAGUUUCUGACAUAACAAAUGACAGUGACAGAUCAGUUUAGUUGUCGAACUUCAAGAAAACUGAAGAGCCAUUCGUUCAUUCUUCGUCAUGUUUUCAAUCUAGAAUCAUCGAAGUUAUUUAGCAACAAAAUGGGGAAAUUGAAUCAAAAUCGGAACGAUAGCAACUGUAAAGAUUUUUGGUGCCAUUCCUCGUUGCACGGCACCUGAACUUGCCAGUUUGGAGAACCAGGUCCAGGGACCUGAGGACUAGAACCCAACCAGAACUAAACCACGAGUUGAAAUGAGUGGCGGCAAGGAAGUACGCGAUGUGGAUUAGAAAGGAAAAUCAGGACUAAGCGAACGUCUAGAAACCGAAUGUAUUUUUAAUAAACAAACAACUCAACUC